GACGAACCGUGCGAACGUUAUUCGGAAUCAUUGGGCUUAAAGGGCGCGUAGGCGGCUUGGCAAGUGAUGGGUGAAAUCCCUCGGCUUAACCGAGGAACUGCCCAUCAAACUGCUUGGCUUGAGGCCGGGAGAGGCGAGUGGAAUUCCCAGUGUAGCGGUGAAAUGCGUAGAUAUUGGGAGGAACACCAGUGGCGAAGGCGGCUCGCUGGACCGGUUCUGACGCUGAGGCGCGAAAGCGUGGGGAGCAAACGGG
rnacentral:rRNA from 1 species